rnacentral:rRNA from 1 species
CAGUAGCGAAGGCGGUUCCCAUGGGCCGGCACCGACGCUGAGGAGCGAAAGCGUGGGGAGCAAACAGGAUUAGAUACCCUGGUAGUCCACGCCGUAAACGUUGGGUACUAGGCGUGGCGUCUUAUCAACGGAUGCCGUGCUCGAAGCUAACGCGUUAAGUACCCCGCCUGGGGAGUACGGCCGCAAGGCUAAAACUCAAAGGAAUUGACGGGAGCCCGCACAAGCGGCGGAGCAUGCGGCUUAAUUCGAUGCAACCCGAAGAACCUUACCUGGGCUUGACAUCGCGGGAAAAGCCUUGGAAACAAGGUGUGCGAGAGCGUCCGUGACAGGUGGUGCAUGGUUGUCGUCAGCUCGUGUCGUGAGAUGUUGGGUUAAGUCCCGCAACGAGCGCAACCCCUGUGCUAUGUUGCCAGCACGUAAAGGUGGGGACUCAUAGGAGACUGCCGGGGAUAACUCGGAGGAAGGUGGGGACGACGUCAAAUCAUCAUGCCCCUUAUGCCCAGGGCUGCACGCAUGCUACAAUGGUCGGUACAACGGGUCGCGAUCCUGCAAAGGGGAGCCAAUCCCUCAAAGCCGACCUCAGUUCGGAUUGGAGUCUGCAACUCGACUCCAUGGAGUCGGAGUCGCUAGUAAUCGCAAAUCAGCAAAGUUGCGGUGAAUACGUUCUCGGGCUUUGUACACACCGCCCGUCACACCACGAAAGUAGGCAACGCCCGAAGUCAGUGGCCCAACCCGCAAGGGAGGGAGCUGCCGAAGGCGGGGUUUAUGAUUGGGGUGAAGUCGUAACAAGGUAACCGU